rnacentral:rRNA from 1 species
GACGAACGCUGGCGGCGUGCUUAACACAUGCAAGUCGAACGGUGAAGGGGUCUGCUUUUGUGGGCCCUGGAUGAGUGGCGAACGGGUGAGUAACACGUGAGUAACCUGCCCCCUUCUUCUGGAUAACCGCAUGAAAGUGUGGCUAAUACGGGAUAUUCUGGGUCUGUCGCAUGAUGGGUCUGGGAAAGAUUGCGCCUUUGGGUGUUUUUGGUGGGGGAUGGGCUCGCGGCCUAUCAGCUUGUUGGUGGGGUGAUGGCCUACCAAGGCGGUGACGGGUAGCCGGCCUGAGAGGGUGGACGGUCACACUGGGACUGAGACACGGCCCAGACUCCUACGGGAGGCAGCAGUGGGGAAUAUUGCACAAUGGGCGCAAACCUGAUGCAGCGACGCCGCGUGAGGGAUGGAGGCCUUCGGGUUGUAAACCUCUUUCGCCAGUGAAGCAGGCCUGCUCCUUGUGGGUGGGUUGACGGUAGCUGGAUAAGAAGCGCCGGCUAACUACGUG